rnacentral:rRNA from 1 species
UACGUAGGGGGCUAGCGUUGUCCGGAAUCAUUGGGCGUAAAGAGCGUGUAGGCGGCUCGGUAAGUCCGCUGUGAAAGUCCAGGGCUCAACCCUGGAAUGCCAGUGGAAACUGUCGAGCUAGAGUCCGGAAGAGGCGAGUGGAAUUCCUGGUGUAGCGGUGAAAUGCGUAGAUAUCUGGAGGAACACCGGUGGCGAAGGCGGCAUCCUGGACCGGCACUGACGCUGAGGAGCGAAAGCCAGGGGAGCAAACGGG